rnacentral:tRNA from 1 species
UUCUUGGUGGUCCAGUGGUUAGGACCCUGUACUUUCAAUGCAGGGGGUGUGAGUUCAACCCCUGUCAGGGAAC